rnacentral:lncRNA from 1 species
AGCACCUUGUGCUGCUGUGGCUGUGCAGGAAAGCUGAAUCACUCAGCACCCUGCUGCUCUGUGAGGCUACUCACAGAAGAAAAAAUAUAUUCCUUUCACCAGUCAUGGCAAGGGGACUUUGUCUGGAAAACAUCCACCCUGCAUUGCAGGUAGUUAUUUGAGGGCUAUUUUUGGAGGGAAACAGGACAGACACAGCCUGGCUGCUCCUGCAUUAUUUUUGGAGAGAAACAGGACAGACACAGCCUGGCUGCUCCUGCUCUCAGUCAUGAGGGAGAGAUCCCAUCAACGUGGUCCCUCUGCAAGGGCUCUGUCCCUUCCCAGGCUCUGUGGCUGAUCAGCCAGAAGCUGAUGGGAGUCAGAUCCUCCCCUCCAAAGUUUUGUUUUCUUCUCACUGGAAGAAACUUCCAGUUCUCAGGUCUUCCCAUUCUUUGGAGAGCACACCAUGCCUGAAGUGAUUGUGAAGAGCACAUCAAACAAACUAAAAAACAAGAGAAACCAAAGCCAUUGAAGUUCUACCCGGAUUCCUAGUGGAGAUGUGAAGGACUGGGAGAGUUGCAAAUGGACAGGAUAACCUGAGCAUUUUCUACUGUCUGUAAGCUAAAAAACUUGAUGGAACAUUGUGUGAGCUCCUGAACAAGGCAAGCUUUGUUCAGUGGUGCUUUUUAGUUAGAGAUGUGCUGAUGAUGGCUUCAAUGUGGUUGACAUCUGGCUGCUGGAAAGGGCUAAAAUGUGUUAUUACCCU